rnacentral:lncRNA from 1 species
GCCUUUCCUUUCCCCACCUUUCUUAUCUCCUUGUCUUCCUUAAAUCUCUUCCUAGGCCCUUGUCCUAAAAUCAAACUUAUCCUUACUAUUUUUUGGACUUAUCCUCAUAAGAAAAGGAAGAAAAUAAUUGGACAAGAGGAGAGACUUAUGUAAAAAAGAAGAGAUAGGAUGAUUUUCGAUGGAAUGAAACCUCGGUGCGCGUCUCCUUUAUAGUUGGAGAUCGAAUGCCAUCGGGACCAACUCAUACCCCAUCCAAUGGACAUCUCAUGCCUCCCCACUUUAUCUCAUGCCUUCUCACAUAUCUCAUGCCCAUCAGCAACUAACAUGACA